UCACUGCAGCCCUUGCAAACACCCCUCUGGAGCCUGGUGUGUAGGGAAUAAAACCCAUCAGGAAGAGCUGAGCUAAAGGGAGGAGCUCAGCAAGGCCUGGUCAGGGAAUGUCCCGCUGAACCAGGAGCAAACUGACUGGAUCAUAGGAAAAGAGUUCGUGGCUUUGGGGGUCGUGGCCAGGUUGGGGAGCAUCCUUCCCAUCCCCACCAUUCCCUGUGCCAGGAUGCUCCAGGUGCUGCUCCCACAUCCAAGUGAUGGGAAGGGCCAUGUCCCGCACCGUGACCUCUCCAAAUGGAUCAGCAGCUCCUUAAACCCACACAAUAACCACUAGCAAACCACGGAAUCAUCCUUUCCUGAUGUCCUCUGGAAUUUCAGAGUAGCCAGGCAUGUCCUAGUGCAGCCCUUUCCGAGCCUCUUUAGCUGCUGCUGUUGGCUGUUAUCCUCAGGGUUGGAUCCUGCCCUUCCUGGGACAGGGGGUCUCUAAAGCAAACAGGGACCCCAAGGUGAGGUGAAGGGGUGAGAUACUCUCUGGAAGGGGAUGAGAUUUCUGUUCCCAGCAGCUGGAGGUUCCCAGUGGGUAGGAAACACCAGAAAUGCCCAAUAAAGGGAUUGUGGAUGUGGGUUUCAGCCCCACAAGGGUAGAGGAGCAUCACAGGGAUAUCCUCUGAUAUCCCUGCCCUGCUUUUCCAGAGCACCUGGAAGGCCUCAUUUCCUUGGAAAUGAGUGGGAAGUGAGCUCCCUAAAUCCUCUGGACAUCAGUCAUCCUGCUGCCAAACUUGUCAGGGCAAUCUAGCUGGAGGGGACACACAGCAACCCCAAUGCACUGGCCACAAACACCUAAUUAGGGUUAAAAUAGCAAAAGGAAAGUGUGGUAAUGCUGGCACUUGGGAUUUUGGGCAAUUCCAGGCUUAGGGAGAGCAAUGGAUCUGCUCUGGGUCAUCUGCAGGCUGAUAAAUCAGCUGGAGCACAGAUGAUCCUCUGGAAAACCAAAAUUCAGGAGAAACUAGUGGAGGCAAGAGAGUGAUAUCGGAUGGUAGCUGGAAGUCACCAAGUCAUGUCCCUGCUCAGAGGCCACCAAGGCAUCCCCUGGAAUGACAUGUCAGGCAAACUCAACUUGUUGAGGCAGUGACAGAGAAUUCCAGGGGCAAAUCCCAGGGAUUUGGUGACCAGCAGGAGCCAGGUCAGACCGUAUCAAAAGUCACUCCUUAUCUCCACAGGACACUGCCAUCCUCUCACAUCAGGAAGGUCUUCCCAUAUUUAAUUUGGGAGACUGGAAUGAGCAUGGCUUGUCCUUGCCAGAGGAACCAGGCUGGUCAUGCAGGACCCAAAUCCAUCUGGGAAGGCCAGGGGUAGCGAGGGAGCUGCUCGGAGCAGUCUGAGCCAGGCAGGGCAAGUUGGAGCAGUCCAGGAACAGGUAAUUCCUGCUGCACCUCGUGGCAGGGAUUACAGGCGGAGCCGCUGGGGCCGGAAUGCUGGGGCAGGACGGAGGGAACCCUGUGCUCCAGCUGCAUAAAAAAGGGCUCCAGCCAUAAAAAAAGGAGGAUGAGAGGCUGAGGGAGGCAGGAGAAGUGGAGGUGCCCUUCCUACUGAGUUUGCUCCGGGUGCUCAGUAAAGCCUGGGAGUGGUGGGAAUCGGGACACACAGGCACCAGCCUGAGGGUGUCUGGAAAACUUUAAGGAAUCUCCUUUUCCACCCAAAAUUCCCAAUUUCUCAGCCAAGCCCUGCCAUCAGUGGGUUUGGCAAAGGCAUGAAUGAGAUUCACUCAGGGAAAACCAGGAGCUUCCAUAGGGACGGGGUGGCAACAUGUGGCCUUGGAGUGCACUGGGAACCAGUGUGGGGUCUGUGUUCACGGGACAAUGUCUUUGGCCAGCGGGAUUUUUCCCCCAGGAGAGCUGGAGGGUUUGACAGUGCCCACCGUGCAGGAGUUAAUUGGGUUUUCUUUCUGCUAAUUGUGAGGGGAAGGGAAGAAUGCCCUUAAUUAAUGGGAGGGCAAACCAGCCGUGCAGAAUGGGCUGGAUCCACCAACCCAUGCACAAAAAAAUCCCAGCUCUCCCCCUCGCCAUAGCAACGGGGAAAUGCAGGGUAUCCUGCUUGUUCAGCCAAAAAAACCCCCCCGGAAUACCCUCCUGGGAAACACGUUACCCUCACCGGCGAGUGGGACCUUCCCAGGGAAAACUAAGACUCAAAGUAAUAUUUUUCAGGGAUUAAAAGACUCCUGGGGAGGUCUGGGUGCGAGGAAUGGUUGGAUUUGCCUGGUGCUGAUGAGCACUGACGGGGUCUGAUGGGACCUGUCUUGGCUGGAGGUGUCUUGUAAGGCCCUGGGAAGGACGUUUGGUCCAGGAGGAAUGUUGUUCAUCCCAGGUUCUCCCACCUCUUCCUGGCGUGCCCUAAAUCCGGCUGUAAGGGCAGAGGGGUGGGAGGACCGUG